AGUGAACGCUGGCGGUAGGCCUAACACAUGCAAGUCGAACGGCAGCACAGUAAGAGCUUGCUCUUACGGGUGGCGAGUGGCGGACGGGUGAGGAAUACAUCGGAAUCUACUUUUUCGUGGGGGAUAACGUAGGGAAACUUACGCUAAUACCGCAUACGACCUACGGGUGAAAGCAGGGGAUCUUCGGACCUUGCGCGAUUGAAUGAGCCGAUGUCGGAUUAGCUAGUUGGCGGGGUAAAGGCCCAACAAGGCGACGAUCCGUAGCUGGUCUGAGAGGAUGAUCAGCCACACUGGAACUGAGACACGGUCCAGACUCCUACGGGAGGCAGCAGUGGGGAAUAUUGGACGAUGGGGGCAAGCCUGAUCCAGCCAUACCGCGUGGGUGAAGAAGGCCUUCGGGUUGUAAAGCCCUUUUGUUGGGAAAGAAAAGCAGCAGGUUAAUACCCCGCUGUUCUGACGGUACCCAAAGAAUAAGCACCGGCUAACUUCGUG
rnacentral:rRNA from 1 species